rnacentral:rRNA from 1 species
AUACGAAAGGUGCAAGCGUUGUUCGGAUUUACUGGGCGUAAAGAGAUCGUAGGUGGUUUGUUAAGUUGGAUGUGAAAUCCCGGGGCUCAACCGCGGAACUGCAUCCAAAACUGGCAGACUUGAGUUCGGGAGGGGUAAGCGGAAUUCCGUGUGUAGCAGUGAAAUGCGUAGAUAUACGGAGGAACACCUGAGGCGAAGGCGGCUUACUGGACCGAUACUGACACUGAGGAUCGAAAGCGUGGGUAGCAAACAGGAUUAGAAACCCUAGUAGUCC